GAUGAACGCUGGCGGCGUGCUUAACACAUGCAAGUCGAACGGAAAGGCUCCUGCUUGCAGGGGUACUCGAGUGGCGAACGGGUGAGUAACACGUGGGUGAUCUGCCCUGCACUUCGGGAUAAGCCUGGGAAACUGGGUCUAAUACCGGAUAGGACGAUGGUUUGGAUGCCAUUGUGGAAAGUUUUUUCGGUGUGGGAUGAGCUCGCGGCCUAUCAGCUUGUUGGUGGGGUAAUGGCCUACCAAGGCGUCGACGGGUAGCCGGCCUGAGAGGGUGUACGGCCACAUUGGGACUGAGAUACGGCCCAGACUCCUACGGGAGGCAGCAGUGGGGAAUAUUGCACAAUGGGCGCAAGCCUGAUGCAGCGACGCCGCGUGGGGGAUGACGACCUUCGGGUUGUAAACUCCUUUCGCUAGGGACGAAGCGCAAGUGACGGUACCUGGAGAAGAAGCACCGGCUAACUACGUG
rnacentral:rRNA from 1 species